GGAUCCGGAUGAAACGUUUGGGCUGCGACUGCUGAGUCCGCUGUUCCGUCUGCCGGACGGAAGUCUGUUGGGUCACCAAACAAAAUCGCUGGGGUCCAAAGGGCAAAGGUGACACGGGCGGUGGCUGUCGGUGUGGCGUUGACGGCGUCAAAUAUCAUCUCUUCUGCAAUUAAUGCCAUUAAUUAAAACUCAAAUUUGAUUACCGUAGAAUAAAAUUAUUUCGCCAAGUCGUGUGCAAUUGAAAUUUAUUGACAUUUGAAAUGCGUGUAUUUAAUCAAUGUUUGGCAUGUUUUAAAAAGGAUAACAGAGGCAAAGUAAAUGCAAUGCUCAGCAAUGAAUAUUUACAAAAGAUACAUAUUAUACAUAUUCAAUUUCUAAUGUUAGAUUCAGAGGGAGGUUUAAUUGGCUUUUCUUUUUUUUUCGAAUAGUUUGAUGUUUCACCUUGUAUAUGAAACAUGCAUCCUACCAAAUUUAUUGAACGGUUCUACAUAAAAUUUUUUCUGUAGAGUAACAAUUUGACAUUCGGUGGUCGCUGCUCUAGAAUCCGGACGGCGCUGUUGUUGCGGAAUCUGUAAAUUUCGUGCGAUAUGCUGUUGCACAGUUGGCGUGGAAUACCUUUGCUCGACUGCAGAAAAUAAAGGGAGAAGAAAAGAU